rnacentral:lncRNA from 1 species
CACAGAAGAGGAGAAGGGGAUGUGAAGGUGGAGGCAGAGACUGGAAUGAUGUGGCCAUCAGCCAAAGAAAGGCUGCAGCCACCAGACGCUGGAAGAGAUCCUCCCCUGGGGCCUCCACAGGGAGUGUGGCCCUGCUGACAUCUUGAUUUCAGACUCCUGGCCUCCGGAACGGCACUGAUGGAGCGCCUACCAUGUGCUGACGAUGUGCUAGUUGUGCAGAUAUCAUGGUGUUGGAACUGCUGCGUGUGUUUAACUGGAGAAUUCAGGCCAUCCCCUGUUUGGGGGGCCCAGGCGACUGCAG